rnacentral:rRNA from 1 species
GAUGAACGCUAGCGGCAGGCCUAACACAUGCAAGUCGAGGGGCAGCACAGGUAGCAAUACUGGGUGGCGACCGGCGGAUGGGUGCGUAACGCGUAUGCAACCUACCAUUGAUUGGGGCAUAGCCCGAAGAAAUUCGGAUUAAUACUCCAUAAUAUUCCAUCAAAGGCAUCUUUUAUGAAUUAAAGCUUUUGCGAUCAAUGAUGGGCAUGCGUGACAUUAGUUAGUUGGUGAGGUAACGGCUCACCAAAACGAUGAUGUCUAGGGGUUCUGAGAGGAUUAUCCCCCACACUGGUACUGAGACACGGACCAGACUCCUACGGGAGGCAGCAAUGAGGAAUAUUGGUCAAUGGACGCAAGUCUGAACCAGCCAUGCCGCGUGCAGGAUGACGGCCCUAUGGGUUGUAAACUGCUUUUCCACGGGAAGAACCCUCCGACGUGUCGGAGACUGACGGUACCGUGGGAAUAAGCAUCGGCUAACUCCGUGCC